rnacentral:sRNA from 1 species
CUUCGGCCUUCUAUACCUACUGGGCGGGCUCGGAUCCGUUUCCCUGGCCCCCUACAUCUGUGAUUCCCUGCUGAGGCCUCUUUAGGCUCAGCGGAGACGUUGGAACUGGGCUUUCCUUGUGGCCCCCUUUCCUCGCUCCCUGCCCUGGGCUGACGUCAGUUUUAUCUUCCUUCUCCAUUCCCUUUUGCCUCCUUCCCCACUCGCUCUCCUCUUAAGAUGUCCAAAUUCUUCCUUCUCAGCCACUUUCAACCCAGAGAAAGCCCGAGUCCCAAAGCAACAGGAAGAUGUGCGGGAGACCGCGAGUGUGGGGAGAUCCUGCCGCCUCGGGCAACUCUGUCGUCCCCCACAGGGUCCAGGUGCUCAGAAAACAGCAGCCACUGAGUUCACUGUUUCCACAGGCCCCGUAUUCCCGGCCGUGCUCAGCUGGGCUUGUGGAGCCGCAAGCGGGGGCGCUCCUGCGGCACCGCCCCUCCCGGGCAGCCCGGCUUCCAGGAGAGACUCGGCCUCGGUCUCCGAAUGGCAGGGGUCUGGGAGAGGAUGUGAUGGCAAAGGCCUGCCCCUCUCAGGCCGACUCUAGCAAGUUCUCUACCUUGAGAGAAGCGAGUAGGAGGAGGAAGGAGGCAAGGCUGAGCCAUCUCUGAGGAAUGUGGCUUUGGCAGGACAUCCAGUGCUGCCCCGCUCCUCCCUCAGUCCCGCCCAGGGCUCCGGAGCCGGGCCGGGCUCCUCCUCCUCCAGGGGAAGGGCUCGGGGCAGGAAUCCCUUCCCUUUCACCACCCCAGGAGAAGCCCCAGAGCGUAGGGAAAUGCGUACGGCAGAAAGGGAGACAGAAGGCAGGGCUAGAGAAAGGGAACAGGAAAAAAGAGCUUCGACAAGCCAACUGCCCUUCGCUCAGGCCCCAGCGGAAAGGGGCAGAUACCCGGAGACUUCCCAGAGAGACUCGACCCACCAAAAAGCGCACCACGGCCGCGCAGCCCUUCCUUCAGCUCUGGAACCCAGCGCCCCACACCUCAACUGGGAGAACUGGUGACCUCUAGUGGCCCAUGACCAGUCUGCAGGGCCUGGGGCUGGCGGGGAUUCUCUGAGCCAAACUCUCCUCCUGGGCUCUAAUGCUGUUCCCCUGCCCACCCCACCUUCUGCCUUCACACUGCUGAGGGGUCCGUAGCCGACAAGGAAGAGCCCGUUUCUCAUUUGUCAUGACCAUCUUUAAUAAAAAAUAAAUUAGUUCUGGGAGGGAACCAUUUCAGGAGGCAGGGAGUGGGGCUACGGGCUGGGUGGGCGGGGCAGGAGGGGGGGCGCAUGCUCACAUUUCUCUUUUUCACCCUCUGCCCAGCUGGGCCUUGCUCUGGAGAGGGAGUCUCUUUCCUCCUGCCUUCCUGGGUAAGGCAGGAUUGGCAGUGGCUGACCCCAGCCCUAGCUAAUUAGGGAGGCAGGGGCAGAGAUACUAGGCAAAUGAGAAGGGGUCAGAGACACAGGGCGGCUUAGAAGAUGUGAGGUCUGAACAUGAGAAAGGAGGCUUAGGGCACAAAACUGGAGUUGGUGGUGAGGAGACCACACUCUAAGUAGCUCAGAUUAGCAAGGAACUGCGGACUUGUUUUCCUCUCCACCUAGGAAAGUCUCAGGGAAACAGGUCUUGUCCUUCUCAGUCUGUGUAACUUCUUUUUGAAAAGUGAUACACGUUUGAGCACACACAUAUCCAUGCAGUCCCAAAAGCACACCUGAGGCAUAUGUGUACACACCCAUCACAUCACCACAUGGGCCUGACCACAGACCUGAAAGUCACUUUCUGUCAGUCACCUUGCCACCCUCUGUCACCUGGAGGACAUCCCUGCUGAGACUGGGACAGGCUGGAGAGCCAGGGGGUUCUGAGUGGGCCGAUCAAUGGGUGACCGAUGGUGGCACAGAAAACCGUGAGGGUGCCCCGGAC